rnacentral:rRNA from 1 species
GGCCUCUUUGCUACUGCUAAAGGAUGAGCUUGCGGACUAUCAGCUAGUUGGUGAGGUAAAGGCUCACCAAGGCUAUGACGGUUAGCCGGCCUGAGAGGGUGAACGGCCAGACUGGAACUUAGACACGGUCCAGACUCCUACGGGAGGCAGCAGUGAGGAAUAUUGCGCAAUGGGCGAAAGCCUGACGCAGCGACGCCGCGUGGAGGAUGAAGGUUUUCGGAUCGUAAACUCCUGUUAAGUGGGAAGAAAAGUCUGUGGUUAAUACCCGCAGAAAAUGACGGUACCAUUAUAGAAAGCACCGGCUAACUGCGUG